AGUGAAGGAUAGUGUCGCUGGUGGCCGGGCUGGGGCGAGGGGCGUCCGAUGCCUUCACCUUUUCUGGUUUCCGGUUUGACGCCGUGGCGUAGGUGCUGCGGGCUUGCAACCUAGUGUGGACUGGUGGGGCUCAGGAGAUUUCUGAGCUUCUCGAACUCCGUAUUGCUUGGCGUCCUACGGGAGUUGGACGAGAGGCUGGGACCAGUGUAGAUUCCACUGGGCAGGGGAGCAAAAGCUCUGCACUGCCUUGAAUGAGUAUGGAAGGGUCGGUCUAACUGCUUAAUAAGUCGGGGUGGAUCCAGGAGGGAGAAAUAGACCGGAGGUCCGGCUUCUCGGUUCAGAUCUUUAGGCUUAACUUCUGAUUUUGUGAAAUGAACGCAGCUGGACGUAUGAUAGAUCUCAAGAUGUCUGUGAUUGUGUAUUUGUGAAUUGAUGAAAGGAAUGUAGAUCUCAGUAAUAACAAUUAUCAUAUGCAAUGUAAAAAUUGCAGUACCCCGAGAAAUGUUGAGAACCUUUAAUUUGGUAAUACGACUUCCAAGAAUAAACUUGAGCAAGUAGCAUGCAUCUGUGAUCUCCAAAAUCAUUGCAGCAAUUACAAAGAAAAUUUUCAAAGAACCAUGAUGGCAAAAGCUAAGAAAAUGGCUAAAUAAACAUGGUUAGCUUUAUGAAAAUGAUAUUAAAAACUAUGGUAACAAUAAUAAAGGAUCCCAUGUUCCUUUAUUAUAUUAUUGCGCUAAGUCGAAAAAUGGAAAAUUUUAAGAAAAUACUCAAAAGCUGUUGCCCACUUUUCUGUAUUUUUCUUUGUUUUGAUUUCUCUGUAUUAAAGCUGGUUUCACUGGUAUAGUGGGAGGAACACUUUUUAAAUGAAAGAUUCCUAAUGAUGAAGCCCCUGAAGCACCAGAAGGCACCUUGAUCUUUUAUUGAGGAGUGCUGCUUACCUAUAGCAGAGGAACACUUUGAUACUGAUUCCGUGUUUACGGUAUUAAGGGUUGAUUUCAGGCGUUCUUUUAAACUUUAAUGAAAAAGUGGAGUCUCCUAACUAUGAUGACAAUCAAAUAAAAUACAUAAAGUAACUUUGCAAGUAUAAGUUGCUCAUUUUUUUUGGAUCGCCUCAGUUCAGAGGAAUUAUACUGAUUUAUUAUGAGGAAAGAGCUGCCAGAGGAAACAGCUAGUGCAUUAAGUCCUAAGUGGGGAGUCAAGGAUGAUUUUUGGCUGGAAGAACUGGAAAGACGAAGUUCUGUUGACCAAAAUAAGUGAGGAAGACAGAAUCAAAUUUGGCAAGGAAGGUGGCAUUACAUCUUUAAAUGACUCCUAGAUGAAAGAAAAUCAAGCAAAAUUAAGUUUUUUUCUCCUAACAGAAUAAUAAAAACAACCUACCAAAAGAAAUGAGAUGCAGCAAAGCAACAAACAUACAAGGUUUACGUUAGAAAAAGGUUACUUUUGGUUGCCAGUUGCAAUCCAGUAAAUGUACCUCUUUAUUUUCAUUCCUAUUUCAUUAACAAAAUUUUUGGUAAAGCAUCCUUUUCAAACCUUAUGUAUCACUGUAAAUAAACCCUACAUGCUUCAGAAUGCUCAAGAGUGUUACUUUGAUACUGGAGAUGGCUCUUGUAAUCAAGAAAACACUUCCGCAAAUCUUUGUCACACCUACAUAAGCAUUAUUAAGCAUUUUUUAGUGGAUCUCUAAUUUCAUUUUGACCAUAACACAUGCUUAACACAGCACAGCAAGUCCCUUAACUGAAAUUGUGGAAAAUUCUCAUGAGGCAAAUUGACUUUCUUUUAGUGUUUCAUUUUUAAUCGGUAGGUAGAGAUGUUACAGACCAAGUGUUUUAAGCUCUGCAGGUAGGCAAAUGGUGUGAGUCACUGAUAUGGUUUGGCUGUGUCCCCACCCAAAUGUCAUCUUGAAUUGUAGUUCCCAUAAUCCCCACGUGUCCUGGGAGGGACCAGGUGGAGAUAAUUGAAUCACAGGGCCGAUUUUUCCCAUCCUGUCCUUGUGAUAGUUAGUUCUUAUGAGAUCUGAUGGUUUUAUAAGGGUCUUCCUUCUUCGCUGGGCACUCAUUCUUCUUCCUGCAGCCAUGUGAAAAAAAGGAUGUGUUUGCUUCCUCUUCUGCCAUGAUUGUACGUUUCCUGAGGCCUUCUCAUUCAUGCAGAACUAUGAGUCAAUUAAAACUCUUUCCUUUAUAAAUUAUCCAGUCUCAGUUAUUCCUUCAUAGCAGGGUGAGAACUGACUAUUACAGCCAUCAUAGGAUCUGGAACCAGAAGUGAGAAGCCCAGGCUUAGUCAUUUGCAAGAUACAUAAGCUUAUAAUUCAGAUGACAUGAAAUAAUGUGUAAGCAUGUUGUGUAAACUCCAUAUAAAUAUUAUUUACUGGUAAUUAAAUUCAUAUACCAUCUUGUAAAGCAUUGCUAUUCUCUGUUCAUCUUUAUUGCUAAUGAAAUUGUCCCUAAGAGAUUCAUCUUAUUUGUAUUCUUCUUAGUUUCUUCUGCAGGUAGUGCAUAUUAGCAGUUGCUGUUUACUAAUGCUAUCAGCCUUUAAAAAUUAUUUUGAUGUUUAUUUUUACUUUUCUGUGCCUGUGAGUUUUCUAGGCAAUCACACUACUCUCAGAAGCUCAGUGUUGAGAAUUCCCUAUUUCAUGCUUAAUUUUAAUUAUCGAACAGUUCAUGUGGCUAAUGUUUCAUUUACUCAGGUAUCUCAAAGACUUUACCAGUCACAAGCACAAAGAGCCAUAUAAAAUUUUAAUUUUGUGUACUCUGAACAGAAAUAUCUUCAAGGGUAGUGAAUCUCAGUAAUACUUUCCAGCCUAACUCACUUCCCUGGCCUGCAGUCUACUGUGAGUCAACACAGAAGCCAGAGUGGUUCUGUUACAAUGUAAACCAGUCCAUAUCACUCCUUUGCUCAUAACUGCCCCAUCCUCAUCUCAGAUUAAAACCAUGUGUUUAUAGUAUAGGUCCUAGAGAAUCUGGCUUCUUGAUCCUCACCCUCACAGCUCUUCUUUCUCUGCCUUAGUCUGUUUUCUGGACUAAGCUUAUAACAGAAUACCUGAAACUGGGUAAUUUUAUUUCCUACAGUUCUGGAGUAUUGGAAUUCCAAGGUCAUGGGGGACAUUUGGUGAGACCUUCUUGCAUGUGGGGACUCUGCAGAGUACUGAGGUAGCACAGGCCAUCACAUGGCGAGGGGGCUGAGUGUGCUCACUCAGGUCUCUCUUCUUAUUCUACUCCACUACUCCAGCCAUACUAGCCUCUUUGCUGUUCCUCAAGCAUGCAAGGCAGGAUUUCCUCGUAAGGUCUUUGCACUUGCUGUUCCCUCUGGAAUGCCGUUCCUCCCAUACCCAUAUGUGUCACCUCCUCCCUUCCUUCAAGUCUUUCCUCAAAGGUCACUUUCUAAAUGGGGUUACCCCAACUCGACCACCCUACUUAAAAUUACAACCACUCCUAGCACUACCUAUCCCCUUUAACUCAUUUUUCCCAUGCUUCUUUAAAAUUACACUAUUUAUUUAUUAUGUUUAUACUCUUUCUCCCUGUAGUAGAAUGUAAGUUCCAUGAGGGUAGAAAUUUUGUUUACUGUUGUAUUUUGGCACAUAAGGCAGUACCUAAACAGACUAGGCACUCAGAAAAUAUUAACUCUCUGAGUGAAUGAAUGAAUCCAAAAGACUGGUAACAUGGUACAAUUCUAAAAACACUGGAC
rnacentral:lncRNA from 1 species